GCAAGUCGAACGAGAAAGUCACUUCGGUUGCAAUUAAAGUGGCGCACGGGUGAGUAACACGUAGGUGACCUGCCCUUUUGUGGGGAAUAACUAGGAUCAAUCUUUGCUAAUACCGCAUAAGCAGAACGAAUUUGGAAGUAGUUCUGGAAAGUAUGCCUCUAUACUAUGCAUAAGCAGAAGGAUGGGCCUGCGGGACAUGAGCUUGAUGGUGGGGUAACGGCCUACCAUGGCUUCGAUGUCUAGCCGGAUUGAGAGAUUGAGC
rnacentral:rRNA from 1 species